ACUAAAACAAUUAUUUGCCUCAGCGAAUAAUUGUUAAAUAUUGUGUCCCUCCAGCUGUUUCCUUUGUCAGUAGCAAUUAGCCCAUCAAGAUCAGCCUAAAUGAUGAUAUAUGCAGGCUUUCUGCUUUAGCUUUCUGCGCUUCAGGCAAUCAUGUAAAUCCAUUAAUUGAGCAAAAACCUUGAAUUUUGCCGUUCUUUUAGAAAGCGUUUGACAUGCACAUGUGAGCUGUUUUUUAUGUCUGUGUUCUAGCAAGCGUACAAUACGUUUGCGAAUGAUUUGGAGCAUGUAUGAAAAUACAAACAAAAUAGUCAAAAAAGGGAAUCGUGAUUUUAAAAGAUAUACGUACUAGAUUUAUCGAAUGGAAAACAAAAUGCGCAAAAUCUCUAGGAAAUAAAAAAAGGGGAAAAACAUGAACUAGACAUUAAUUUUUCAAACGUAUCUAAGCCAAUGCCAACUUUCUUUGUGCCAUAUUGAGGUACAUGACCUAUAAGUUUUUUUGGAACACUAGAUCUUAGGUAGCUUUUGCAUAAAACCCCGUCUACACUACACUAAGAUUUUCCUAGACGAAUAUCUCUUUUGAAGGAUGAGACAAAAGAUUUCAUAUUUCCGAAAAUUGCCACAAAAAUCGCCAGUGUAAAUGGGGCUUUAAAUUUCCGGUUACUCAUAUGUUCCUGUUAUCUGUAGCUUCGAAUGGACAGUUUUUCACUCAGAGGUGCGAUUUAUCAGAGCUUUGUUUUGAUUGGAUGAAACCGAUACCCUGUUGUGAGCAUGUGCAGUACUACUACUUUGCGUUUGCAUAUCUUUUGGUCUCCGUCCAGCUAAUUCUAAUUUCUGAUUGGGAAACUAGUAAUGGAGCUGCGAAACUGGUCCAAACGAAAAAAUAAAUCAUAAUUUGGAAGUUAAAGUAAGUUUUUACAAUAACUUGAAUUUACCGAACUCUUUCUUUUUCUCGCCAAGGCAAAAAAAAAAAAAAAGUAGGACACUGAUAAAGUACGUUGAAGCCUUUUUAACUGGUCAUUCCUCAAUCAUGAGAAACCUCACGUUUUUAGUGGCUUGAACAGAUAUUACACAAACGAACUCUACGACCGAGGCGCACUUGAGCGAGAGAGCCUAGGCUCCAGCCUAAAAGUACUGAUAGUAUCCUGGCAAUGUAAAGGAUAAUUAUUUAACUAUUGUGUUCCAACUUCCGGCUUAACUCUGUAAUCUCGUGUCAAUACGGAAGCAAUUAUCUUACGAUUUUAGUGCUUUUACUGACAUAUGGGAAUAAUAUUAUAGCAAAAAUAGAUUUCAAAUGGCAAUUUUAUCCGUAGAUCGAGAGACGAGCUACCAAGGCACUUAGUGAAUGGCUAGCUAUAGGUACUCACUAGAAUCAUUUGAGUCCUGACAACGCCGCCCGUAAAGAUGUGAUGUCAAGACGACGCCAAGGUUGGUAAAGGAUUAUCUUGCCGUGUAAUAUAAUAUACCGCCCGGAUACAAUAGAAACAUAUAAUUGCACGCCUU
rnacentral:misc_RNA from 1 species